rnacentral:lncRNA from 1 species
UGGGAGGGAGGGGGUAACCAGGGCCAGUGCCUCUUGUGGCUGCAGGAAGCCGAGCCAUCCAGGAGGAGCCCAGGGAGCCGCACUGAGAUCCAGGGCGCCGCGGAACUGAGCAGAGCACAGAGCCCAGGCUGAGAUACAAGGAAAAUGAAGAUUCUACUGAGUAUCAUAAUGAUGGCCAUCUUAUGCACUGACUUCGUCCCUGUGUUUAAUGGGAACGCGUCAUCUGCUUUGAAAAAUACCAACAUUACCCGAAUGAGGUGGUGGAAAAUUGAAACUACACCAAGUUUAGAGGGAAACCAGAACAACGUGAUCAAGUACUGUUCAGAAACGUGCCCGUUUAUGGAGGACUUCCAUGGAAGAGGCAGAGAGGACUUACUGUACAUUGCCUGCUGUGCCCAGAACUUGUGCAAUUAUAAAAGACUGCGGAGCGGGCACAGAGCGCUCCGUGCUAGUGUCCAAGCGGUGGCAGUGGCAUUUGUGGCGAGCUUCCUCGGGACCCUCAGGAUCGGACCAGGAUAUGUUGGGAUAGAACUGUGACCUCUGAGACCUUGCCAUGCCGCGUUCCUCUCAGUAAGAAAUUCUCACCCAUGCCAUCCCAUUAAUCUUCUGGACGGGAGCUAUCUGGGGCCCUGGGAGCCUUUCCCAUAGCUCCUGAGAGCCGUUGUAGGAUCCCUUCCCUGGCUUAUGUUCUUUAUGUUUCUUUGAGAUGUUUGGAAAAUGUUAUCUAGAUGCUCACUGGUAUUAUGAAUAGUAACAAUAAUUAUAAGAUUUUCCAUUGCCCUUUCGUCCUUAUUUCUUGGGGGGUGGGGCAUGUGUCUUUUUUUUCUCUCAAAAUGUGAUAUUCUAGGAUUCAAAGUCAUGGAGCAUCCCUGGGAAAUUCUUAUCAAACAACAUACUGGAAGGAAAAACCCUUGUAAACGACGC